rnacentral:lncRNA from 1 species
AGCACAGAAGACGAAGAGCUGGAAUAGAGCUCGCCUCGGCUCUGCUGGCCUUGGCUGCAGCUCUUCCAGAAACCCGGGGCGCCCACAGAAGAAUCUCUUACCUGGCUCUCUCUUCAGGGAUGACAUCAUCGGCUCACACCAGUCUUCCAGGACCACCUUCUGGAUGCCAAGGCUGCUGCUCGAGUACCUGCUGUGCACCUCUACCUCCUGGUACCCCAGCCACUCCCUCAAGUUGCCUGCAUGUUAUAUGGCCUAGCCAAGGAGCACGGAUUCCAGGAACCCACUACCAUACAGAGCAACUCCUUGUGGACCCCCCUGGGAUCAGGACAGCGAGGGACAAGCGACAAAGAGGAUCAUCAGUGGCCAGCUAGUUUCUCUGGGGUUCAAACCUUGAACCAGUGCCCUAGUGAGGGGGCACUGGCCAUGGCCCUUGACCUUUGCUCUGCUUGUGUCUUGAGUCUGAGCCCUUUCCUGUACAUCUGUGCUCGUGUUCAUCUGCUAGUGAACUGGAGUGCUGCCCUCCCCGAGGAGGGUCGUCCCUUGUGACUGAUCAUGCUGUCCUAACAAUGUCCUGAGCAAAAGGGUCCCUUUGGGAACCUCUCAGGAGGGGGACCCGGGUCAGGGGCGACCAGCAUCUUGCUGGCAACUCCGUGGGUGGGGUGGGGUGGGGUGCUUCCUUCUGGAAUGAGCACGUGGCUGACCCCCCAAGGCAUGUCCCCUCCCCCUCCUCCACCCACCUUCUCGGAGAUGUCCCUUUUGGGGUAGUGGGGACAUUAGGAGCAACCUCCUAGGGUUGUUGUGAGAAUUAAAUGAACUGCAGCAGCCUGAGGCAGGGCUGGGCAGAGACCUCAGCACAUGUUUGUUGAAAGGUUUGCAGGUGGAUCUAGUCCUCCCGUUCAUGGCUCAUGUGUCUCAACCAUUCUCUCGCAGACUCCUGCAGCCCCUAUGCCCAGGGCUCUCCUUGCGCCAGCCCCGGCUUCUCGAGGCCUGUCUACACUCGCUGCUUUCCUUCCUCACCUCCAAUUUCCCCUCCAACCCACUGCUUCCUGACUCGCUCUUCUCCAUCGAACGGCUCUCGCUCAGGCCUGUCGCGUCUUCCUGUGCCAUUUGCUGUUGUGCUCAGGUUCCACGAGCUGCCCAUCUCCACAGAAGAGCAGCUGGCAUUGCCCACCGGCCAUGCCGGCUGAAGAAAAGAAGACUGAGGACCCCAGGAUGCCCAGCGCGAGGACCCCAGGAAGCCCAGCGCGAGGACUCCACCCACGACGCCCAGCGCGAGGACUUCACGCACAACACGUUGCAACCCUCCUGGAUUAGGCCAAAGCCAUCAUCUGGAAUCCUGCGUGGGACCCUGGACACACGGACACAGACACCUGCCCCCAGGACCCUCCAACUGUAAAUCGAUUGGAAGCGCCCUUGUGAGCUGGGGCCUUCAAAGGGCUGAGGAGAAAAUGCAGGCCGAGAGACCAGCUUCUCAAAUAGGCUUCAAGCCUCCAUGACCUGAGCUCACCCCCUGGAAAUGUCUGGAAAACAUAAUGGGCAGGUUUUCUGUCUUCAAAGUUUCCAUCAAAACCUCUUCAAGUUCUUUAUUGUUUAGGACUGAGACACUUGGGGACAGUAAUGGGGACUUUCUUUUGUAUCUGUCUUGAAAGGCCAAAAUAUUUUUAUAUUGCUGUAGACAAAGCCACCUAUUUACAAAUGGACUCUUGUUCCGUCGUUUCCCACCAGGAAGACCGUACUAUGUUUGUGUCUCUAUGUAUUCUGGGGUCUUGAAACAGGUUUCUCAUGGGGAUGGCCAUUCACUAGAGCCCAGAGGGGCAGAAGGGGAAGUGUCUACCCUGCCAAGGGGGUCUGGGGAAGGAGGGGGGCUAGUCUCAGAUUUGCUCCUUGUAUGUCUAGGGUAAACCCUGGGAGAAUCUGGUGGUAAAAGAACAUAUGCUGUGUUUGCCCCACAUCUGCCAUUUGUGUGUGUUUCUGGGCUACGGGUUUGCACACUUUGGUGGUUAACAUGGUGGGAGGAAGUAAGAAGGGCCAAGAGGGCACGGGUGCUCUGGUUUUCCUGCUGGGAGGCUGUUUCACUGGUGUGUGUUACAUCACAUAAUGCAUGUUUAGCUGGGUGAGUGACAACAGUAUGAAGGGACAGAGAAACAAAUAGGUGUAGAAAGAGAGUCACAGAGCACACAGUCACCAUUCUGUGCCCAGGCGUUCAUUAAAUGUUCAAUAGAAUGCUGAGCUCUGAUAGACAGAGCGGGCCAUGGACACACUGGUAUUGGGUCAUCAUGGACCUAAGGAGUUUUUUUAAUUGAAGAAGGAAUCUUACAUAACAGAAGAAAGAAUAAGAAGAGCUGUCAAAACGAGCUCUGAGGUUUUUGAAGCCCCUUAAUAUAAACAGACAGACAAUGGCGUGAUCAGGAAAGGGAGAAAACAAACAAACAAACAAACAAGAUGCUUACAGAAAUACGAGAGGACGUGUGAGCAUGCAAAGAGAACCCAGCUAGGUUAGUAUCGGGGUGCUGGUGGAUCGUUAAUCCUGUCUGGGUACCCCAGCUCCAAGGGGAUGAGAGGCAGCAAGUGAGAGGACACAUAGGAAACUGUAACAAGACAGAGGCGAGCAGAUGGGGAGCUUCAGCGGAGUGUUAAGCUAGGCUUCGCAAUCUGACCACUUAACUCUCCCAGCAAAGAAAAGAAAGGCUUAAAUACUAAAAAGAAGGAAAGCUGGAAGAAAGGAUGGUAGAUGUGAAAGGCAUAGAGGAUAGAAAGCAAUAGGGAGUGGAGUGCAGGUGCUGUGGAGAGACGCUUGCAGGUGACUCAAUUCACCAGCCUGUGCAGCUGAGAAAGACAGCCAGUGACAAA